UGGAAUAAUCUAGUCUUUAUCCUUACUUGAUUCAUUUCGUGCCAGCUAGUGAAAAAAGGUCGUGACGAAUUCAAAUUUCUGCAAGCAAGCAAUCCAAUUGGCUGUCGCUAGGUGGAUAAAAUGAUGUCCACCAGGUUGCGUGAGUGUCUUCACUCUUCAGGGACAAAUGGAAAUGGGCUGCUGGUCGUGACGUCUGUACCCAGGCGCCAGGUGUGUGUCGUCCAAUGCACCAGCAAAAAUAAGUCUGUGCUGGUUACUUUGUUGCAGCCAGCUGGCGAUAGGUUUUCCUUUUGCAGACUUGCUACCUGUACUGGUUGUAAGUUUAGUCAUAUACAGAAACAAUUCUAAAGCAGUUUUUAAAAGCAAGUCGAAGAUCUUUCCUUUCUCCAUUUGUUUGCUGCCCUGUUAUGAAAAUGUGUGUUUGAGAGGGUCUCUACUAUAUGUUGCAAGACAAAAAUGUGAUCAAAACAGAAAAUCUGAAAUGUUUAAUCGUUGCUACCGUUCCAUAUACUUGAUCCAUUAGUAAUACUGAGGAGAGACUGCUGAAAUUCAAGACUCGUCAUUUCGUCAAUAAAUUAUGUAGAUGUAGAUAUAAAUUACAAGUGCAUAUCUGGGCUCCCUUCUUCAGUGGCCCCGUUUCCCUAAAUAACCACUAACCAACGCCCGCCGGUGGUUACUCACUCGCUACGACAACCAGGAGGAAGGGAGUGGACUGGUCGAACGGGGACUUGCAAGGCGCAUGAUUCGAUGAAAUCUGUUGGAGGGUCAUGAGUCUAAGCCGGAAGCCUACUGAGAUUAAUCGCUCUCGUAAUAACUGCUCCUCGGCUCUCUUCGCUCUUUUUCCGGUUUCUCUUAACCAUGGCCAGAACAACGCCUCCUUUGAGCGGUCCGGACAAUCCUGAAUUCUUUAGGGUUACCAUUCCAUCGAGGCUUAAACGAGGGUAUUACCCAGAUGACGCAGAGGUGUUGCCCAUUGAGGGGUUUUGGUGACGAGGAGUCACUGAACGAAACACUAAACCAAAUGAAAAAAAAAAUCAUGAAAAAGGUAAUGCUAGGUACGACAUGAAGCUUUUGCUUUCGCAGGAAAUAAUUUGAAUUUGUUUGGAGCCAACGAUCCUGUAUAUAUCCGAGCCGAGUCCUUUCCGUCUACAUUCGGUGUGAAGAGCAAAACCCAAAUUUCAACACAUUUUACUGCUUAGCAACGAAAACAAAGCGAGUAUCAAAACAUUGUUUUACUUGCGCAUACUUUACUGGGGCAUAAACGCGUUGGUCAUGUAACAGGGUGGAAUUUUUUUCCCUUUUGUUCAUGCUGCAUCAAACGACACGCGAUAGGUUCCGGCGGUAAUCAACUUUUCAAGAUGGUAGACAUGUCAAUGAUAAAGACAGGAUUUUCUUCUCCGACCGCAGGUGCAAGGAAUAUGUUUGAAACUUAGAAAAGUUUGCAGUAGAAUAUUUUAUAAAACCCGACUCCUUCAAACGGUUCGAAAUGGAAGAUUUAUUCAUUCACCGAAGAAACGAGUCAAAUGACUCAAAAUGUCAAAUGUGGUAUUUUUAAAGUGACUAAAAUUUAAGCCAUUAUCAUUUAUGAUUUGAUAUUUAUUUUGAUAUUGGUUUUUGUUGACCCAUCCCCAGCAACGUCAACCUGCAGAAAGAAAAAGGCCAGUUUCUAUGACCUUGACACUCGAAGGACACGGAGAUCAUUACGUAAAACGUGUCAUGCAGUGGUGUAGAGGUUGGGUGAGAACGGGACGUUUUGCUUCAUUAUCAAGAAGGUAAAAUAGCCAUUAGGGUUAAGAGAAGGGGUGAGAAAAAAAAAUUGUAUAAAAGGCGAGAGAAAAGUUGACAGGGAUUAGUCGAGUGAGCAUCUCCGACACGGCAACAACUCCAUAUUUCGUCGUAAUAUCAGUUCGCAAUCAUGGCUAAUUAUGGCAUUGGGUUGCUGUUGGGUGUUGUAUCGUUGAUGUCGACCACGAGAGAAAAUCUUUUAAAAGGAAAGAGAAAAGGCAACAGAAGUCAACCGAGUGAGCAUCUCUGACCCGGCAACAACUGCAUUCUUCGUCAUAUUACCAGGUCGUAAUCACGGUUACCUAUGCCGUCAUGCUGCUAUUGGUUGUUGUAUCGUCGAUGGCUGGAUCGAUCAUCGAUCACUGGUGUACCGACGUAUCCUGGUUAAGGUGGAUACCAAACCACAACGCAACCGCCUUACUAAACAACAUACGCAACGACCUGAUACUACACCGAGGUUGCACUGUUGGGUUUACAAUUAAACCACCAAGGAUCCAAAUUAUUACACCACAACUUGUGCUGCUCCUCGAGCUACACUACCGAAGCGCUACAGUACUACACCGAGGCACCUACCGAGACUACGCAACUACGUAUGCUGCCCCAACCUACGACACCGAGGCUCCAGCUUAUUACAUCACCAAAGCUGUCGAAUUCUACACUGGAGCGCCCAAGUACGACAGAAAUCAGUCAAGUGAGCUUCUCCGACACCCAACACGGCAACCCCGAAGUUUCGAAUAAACUUCGUUUCAAACAGUGUAACGGCAAAGAGUGAAGACGAAUUCGACUGCAAUCACGUCGAAUUGAAUA
rnacentral:lncRNA from 1 species